rnacentral:tRNA from 1 species
UGGGAUGUUGCUCAGUGGUAGAGUGUGUGCUUAACACGCACAAGGCCUUGGGUUCAAUUCCCAGCACCAA